UACGUAGGGUGCAAGCGUUGUCCGGAAUUAUUGGGCGUAAAGCGUGCGCAGGCGGUUUUGUAAGUCUGUCGUGAAAGCCCCGGGCUCAACCUGGGAAUUGCGAUGGAGACUGCAAGGCUUGAAUCUGGCAGAGGGGGGUAGAAUUCCACGUGUAGCAGUGAAAUGCGUAGAGAUGUGGAGGAACACCGAUGGCGAAGGCAGCCCCCUGGGUCAAGAUUGACGCUCAUGCACGAAAGCGUGGGGAUCAAACAGG
rnacentral:rRNA from 1 species